rnacentral:misc_RNA from 1 species
AACUUUUGACAACGGAUCUCUUGGCUCUCGCAUCGAUGAAGAACGCAGCGAAAUGCGAUACGUAAUGUGAAUUGCAGAAUUCAGUGAAUCAUCGAAUCUUUGAACGCACCUUGCGCCCCUUGGUAUUCCGAGGGGCACACCCGUUUGAGUGUCGUGAAAAUCUCAACCUUCUCGGUUUCUUCUGGACACCGAAGGAGGCUUGGACUUUGGAGGCCUUUGCUGGCGUCUCUCGCCAGCUCCUCUCAAAUGAAUUAGUGGGGUCCUCUUUGCCGAUCCUCGACGUGUGAUAAGAUGUUUCCAUGUCUUGGUUUAUGGCUCUGUUGCUUUUGGGACCCGCUUCUAACCGUCUCAACGAGACAACGUUCGAGCGUGUCGAACACUCUUGAACCCACGAACCCUUGACCUCAAAUCGGGUGAGACUACCCGCUGAACUUAAGCAUAUCAAUAAGCGGAGGCU